CGGCCACAGGGCCUUUUCUGCCUUAGCCUCAGAAGUUAUGUUGUGUCACCUCUGUUGCAUUCUGCAGCUAGCUCAGUCGGUAGAGCAUGAGACUCUUAAUCUCAGGGUCAUGGGUUCGUGCCCCAUGUUGGGUGCCAGAUGAAGGAGGCCUGCCCCUCCACACCUGUGGGUAUUUCUCACAAGGUGGAGACGAGAGACUGAGAAAAGAAAUAAGACACAGAGACAAACUAUCGAGGAAGAAAAGUGGGCCCAGGGAACCGGCACUCAAC
rnacentral:tRNA from 10 species